rnacentral:rRNA from 1 species
UCGGUCAAGUUGAUAGGGGGAAAGCGGCGGACGGGUGAGUAUCGCGUAGGUAACCUGCCCUAUACAGAGGGAUAGCCUCGGGAAACCGGGAUUAAUACCUCAUAAAGCCAAACCUUUGCAUGAAGGGAUGGCCAAAGAUUUAUCGGUAUAGGAUGGGCCUGCGUCUGAUUAGCUGGUUGGUAGGGUAACGGCUUACCAAGGCAACGAUCAGUAGCCGACCUGAGAGGGUAAUCGGCCACAUUGGAACUGAGACACGGUCCAAACUCCUACGGGAGGCAGCAGUGGGGAAUAUUGCACAAUGGGCGAAAGCCUGAUGCAGCAACGCCGCGUGAACGAAGAAGGCCCUUGGGUCGUAAAGUUCUGUCCAAGAGGAAGAAAAAAAUGACGGUACUCUUGGAGGAAGCCCCGGCUAACUACGUGCCAGCAGCCGCGGUAAUACGUAGGGGGCGAGCGUUAUCCGGAAUUAUUGGGCGUAAAGAGUGCGUAGGCGGCUUCUUAAGCGUGGGGUGAAAGGCAUAGGCUCAACCUAUGUAAGCCUCGCGAACUGGGG